rnacentral:rRNA from 1 species
UUAAAUUGAAGAGUUUGAUCAUGGCUCAGAUUGAACGCUGGCGGCAGGCCUAACACAUGCAAGUCGAACGGUAACAGAAAGCAGCUUGCUGCUUUGCUGACGAGUGGCGGACGGGUGAGUAAUGUCUGGGAAACUGCCUGAUGGAGGGGGAUAACUACUGGAAACGGUAGCUAAUACCGCAUAACGUCGCAAGACCAAAGAGGGGGACCUUCGGGCCUCUUGCCAUCGGAUGUGCCCAGAUGGGAUUAGCUUGUUGGUGGGGUAACGGCUCACCAAGGCGACGAUCCCUAGCUGGUCUGAGAGGAUGACCAGCCACACUGGAACUGAGACACGGUCCAGACUCCUACGGGAGGCAGCAGUGGGGAAUAUUGCACAAUGGGCGC